rnacentral:pre_miRNA from 1 species
UAUUAAAAAUUCAUCCAUUUCUAUUAUUAAAAAUUGGUGUAGCUAACUGAAUAACCAGACAGUUAUGCAUGAUGUGCCACGUGUACUUCAUACUAACAUAUGGAGAUUUUUUUUUUAAUAUUAGAAAUAGAUGUAAUUUUUAAUA